GAUGAAGAACGUAGCGAAAUGCGAUACUUGGUGUGAAUUGCAGAAUCCCGUGAACCAUCGAGUCUUUGAACGCAAGUUGCGCCCGAAGCCAUUAGGCCGAGGGCACGCCUGCCUGGGCGUCACACGUCGUUGCCCCCCCAUCUACUCCUUCGGGAUUGCGGGGGGCGGAUGAUGGCCUCCCGUGCGCCUCGUCGCGCGGUUGGCAUAAAUGCCAAGUCCUCGGUGACGCACGCCACGACAAUCGGUGGUUGCGAAACCUCGGUUGCCCGUCGUGUGCGGUCGUCGCGCAUCGAGGGCUCGAAAAAAUUGCCGGGCUCCGGCUCGGCUUUCAACGCGACCCCAGGUCAGGCGGGGUUACCCGCUGAAUUUAAGCAUAUCAAUAAGCGGAGGA
rnacentral:misc_RNA from 1 species